AUUGAACGCUGGCGGCAUGCCUUACACAUGCAAGUCGAACGGCAGCACGGGGGCAACCCUGGUGGCGAGUGGCGAACGGGUGAGUAAUACAUCGGAACGUGCCCAGUAGUGGGGGAUAGCCCGGCGAAAGCCGGAUUAAUACCGCAUACGACCUAUGGGUGAAAGCGGGGGAUCGCAAGACCUCGCGCUACCGGAGCGGCCGAUGUCAGAUUAGGUUGUUGGUGGGGUAAAAGCCACCAAGCCGACGAUCUGUAGCUGGUCUGAGAGGACGACCAGCCACACUGGGACUGAGACACGGCCCAGACUCCUACGGGAGGCAGCAGUGGGGAAUUUUGGACAAUGGGCGCAAGCCUGAUCCAGCCAUGCCGCGUGCGGGAAGAAGGCC
rnacentral:rRNA from 1 species